rnacentral:snRNA from 1 species
CGAAGAGAAACCGCACAGAC